GAUGAACGCUAGCGGCGUGCCUAAUACAUGCAAGUCGAGGGAACGGACGAGAAGCUUUCUUCACUGAUGUUAGCGACGGACGGGUGAGUAACACGUGGGUAACCUACCUAUAAGACUGGGAGGACUUCGGGAAACCGGAGCUAAUACCGGAUAAUAGUUUGAAAUGCAUGGUUCAAAAGUGAAAGACAAGCUUGCUGUCACUGAUAGAUGGAUCCGCGCUGCAUUAGCUAGUUGGUAAGGUAACGGCUCACCAAGGCAACGAUGCAUAGCCGACCUGAGAGGGUGGUCGGCUACACUGGACUUGAGACACGGUACAGACUCGAAUGGGAGGCAGCGGAGGGGAGACUUCCGCUAUGGGAGAAGGCUUAACGGGGAAACGCCGCGUAGGGGAUGAGGUUCUUCGGAUCUUAAAACUCUGUUAUUAGGGAGCAACAUAUGUGUAAGUAACUGUGCACAUCUUGACGGUACCUAAUCAGAAAGCCACGGCUAACUCCGUG
rnacentral:rRNA from 1 species